rnacentral:lncRNA from 1 species
GCGGGUCCUUGUUUAUAGGGGUUGUUACGGUGGAGUAAUAACCCUUGUAGAUAAUUACUAGCUUGUAGAUAAUAGCUAGUAGAUAAUUAUGGCUUACCCAUAAUGUGUAGCUUAUAUAAUAUAAUACCUGCCAUGAGAUAAGGAGAUUACAACAUAUUCAAAUAAUGAAGUGGUUAAAGAUAACCUGUCAAUUUGGGAGCCCAGCUGCUGAGGGCGAGACGUCCAUGCUCCUGUGUUAGGGCUGAAAUGGAGGGUUGGCAUGUGUAUUGGAGUGCCACGUAGUUUUCCACGUUUAUUUUGUGGACCCUAGACAGUACAUAAGCCCC